rnacentral:rRNA from 1 species
CGCGUAUACAAUCUACCUCAUACUGAGGGAUAGCCCAGAGAAAUUUGGAUUAACACCUCAUAGUAUUAUUGAAUGGCAUCAUUUAAUAAUUAAAGGUUACGGUAUGAGAUGAGUAUGCGUUCUAUUAGCUAGUUGGUAUGGUAACGGCAUACCAAGGCAACGAUAGAUAGGGGCCCUGAGAGGGGGAUCCCCCACACUGGUACUGAGACACGGACCAGACUCCUACGGGAGGCAGCAGUGAGGAAUAUUGGACAAUGGAGGCAACUCUGAUCCAGCCAUGCCGCGUGCAGGAAGACUGCC